UUGUCGGAGACUACGACGUUGAUAGGUCAGGUGUGUAAGUGCUGUGAGGCAUUGAGCUAACUGAUACUAAUUGCCCGUGAGGCUUAACCAUACAACACCCAAGGGGUUU
rnacentral:rRNA from 1 species